rnacentral:tRNA from 1 species
GAGGGUAUAGCUCAAGUGGUAGAGUGCAUGCUUCGCAUGCAUGAGGUCCUGGGUUCAAUCCCCAUUACCUCCU